UCAUAGCAAAGCAUAUUGCAAUUGGAAACUGUCUUCUUCUGAAUUUAAUUGGAAAUUUGGAAUCAGAAGGAACCAAGUCCAUUCUUAAAAUGUGCACUUUGUCACUGACAUUUGUUCCCGUGAUAACAGUUGCACCAAUAAAACGUUCACCAAGUUCAUCCACAAUUAACCUGGUUCCAUUGCAUAAACUUGCUGCUUGGUCUAUAUUUCUCAAAAGCAUGAUUGGAGUACCAACUUUCAAUAAAAGUUUGUGGUUAGGCAUUCCUGAACUUUUAGUGUCGUUCAAAAAUUCGGUGGUAAACCACUCACCUUGGAUUUCAGAAUCUUCAUCAGAUCGCAAGGCAGAGUCGGAGCUCAGAUAUUCAUGCUCUGGUGCAGCUAUCAUCCCAAGCAUGACUAUUUGGGAUGAGCAGAUCUGGCGGGAUUUGGACUUCGUACUCUCCUGCUCCGGAAUCUGGAUGGUCGCCAUUUCCAAUUUUAAGAAUCCAAUCUGCAAAGUCUUUGAUUUCUUUUGCUUCAUCAGCCGUCUCAGCUGCGGUUAGGCGCAUGUUCUUAGUCAAUUUCAUAACUUUGCAGUGUUUCCACAAUGAGGAAGAGUUUACAGUAGAUUCGACGAUUUCCUGUCUGCUUCCUCUAGUUAUUACAGGUAGUAUUUGUCUAAAAUCACCUCCAAGUAUUACUACUUUUCCUCCAAAAGGCUUAUGGGCGUUAUCUUCAUUCUUCGACCUCAUUAAAUCUCGGAGUGUAACGUCUAAAGCUUCGAAACAAUACUUUUUCAACAUUGGAGCUUCAUCCCAUAUAAUAAGACUUGUUUCAAGUAGAAGUUUUGCUCGUAGACUUCCCUGCUUUAUAUUACAUGUCGAGGUCUCUGUAGCAUCUAAUGGAAUGCAGAAUUUAGAAUGAGCUGUUCUGCCUCCAGGCAAGAGUAAUGAUGCUAUGCCACUGGAAGCAACGGUAAGAACAAUUAGUCCUUUGGAUCUAAGUGACGCUGAUAAAGUGUUCCACACAAAAGUCUUUCCAGUUCCACCAUAUCCAUAUAAAAAGUAGAAGCCUCCUGAGUUUGACAACACAGAUGUGACAACCCUCUCAUAUACAGACUUUUGCUCAGGUGUAAGCAUACUAAGCAACUCUUCAUAUUGUACCUUUAAUGCAUCUUUGUCAUAGUUUAGUUCAUCAACAAUAAAUCUAUUGUCAAAUACUUCAUCAUAUUCUGGAGUUGGCAAACAUGGGUAAUCAUUUAAUGACCUACCAUUUCUUUGAAGCAACUUCUCAAUUUCAAUGAUACAUAAAAUUUUCAAAUCAGCAUCUGCGAUUCGUAGGCCUACAGUCGAGAAUAAAGAUUAACAAAUUAUUUUUAACUGUAUCGAAUAUAACUUAUGUUGUUCACAGAUAAUUCAUUUAUAUUGCGCAGUUUGAUUUUUUAAAGUUGUGAAUUUCAAUUAAAUUAAAUCCAAUCAAUAAUUAACUUAUUAUAACAGCAUUUUAAAUCUUAAUAAUAUAACUUGUAAAAUUUCGUACCUGGAUUAUGCAAUUCUUUUCUUCUAUGGUGUAGAAUGCCUUCUGAUAAGAGUAGCCAACAUGAUUCCCAAACAUCAAUAGGUUUUGAGAUUGAAUUCAUCAUCAACAUUCUUACAAAGAGUUUCCUCAUUUGUUCUCCGGAAGCUAAAUCAGAGACUUCUUUAAUUGCAUCAAUAUAUUCUUUGUCAUCUGUUAGCAAUCCCAAUUGAUCGCAUGCUUCCUUAAAAGUAUCAUAUGUUACUCCUUUCACUGUUCUGAUACUUCUAUAUGAUGUACAACCCUUUUGCAUAGUUAGUAGGAUUCUCAUGUAAUAUAACUCACCGAUGCCUGGAGGGAUAUACUGUAGUCUGCCAAUUUUAAAACCCCUCUUUCUUGGUUUCCAGAUUCUAUCUUUUUUAUGAUAAACAAAUCUACUGGGAAAUUCAGCAUAUGUUAGAUCCUGCCCUUCUCGGUAUUUUUCAUUAGCUGCAAACCAAGCCAUAAACAUUGUGGAUUUUGUACCA